ensembl:lncRNA
UUGGUGCAGUUUUGUUAUCCGAGGAAAGACAGCUGGAAGAUUCCUAAUUUGUGAUUCAUACGGAUGAAGAGAGCAAACAGACGAGUGCAUGGAAUAACUCAAUCCCGGGUGCUGGCACUGGGGCGGCGCGGCUUAGCGGGUUAAGCUGCUGCCUGCAGUGCCUGCAUCCCACAUGGGUGCCGGUUCAAGUCCCGGCUGCUCCACUUCUGAUCCGGCUCUCUGCUAUGGCCUGGGAAAGCAGUGGAAGAUGGCCCAAGUCCUUGGGGCCCUGCACCCACGUGGGAGACCCAGAUGAAGCUCCUGGCUCCCGGCUUUGGCCUAGCUCAGUCAUGGCUGUUGUACCCAUCUAGGGAGUGAACCAGUGGAUAGAAGAUAUUUCUCUCUCUCUCUCUCUCUCUCCCUCCUUUCUCUCUGUAACUCUGACUUUCAAAUAAAUAAAUAAAUCUUAAAAAUAACUUAAUCAGAAGCAUCCAUCAGAAUGAUUUUUAUCAGUUUGACCCAAUAUAAAACAUUACUGGUUCCUUAAGUUGCAUAUAAUUGACCCAAAUUUUUAUAUGCGUAGAAACGUUUUUACUAUUUCAAAGAGAAUUUUAGAAAAACUCACAUUGAAAACUCUGUCCGGUUUGUUGUUUCAGUUUAUUUGGAGCAAACUCUAAGCAUGGCUGCAGCGAGCUCUGAGCCGCGAUGGCGAGUCGCAGAAGGGCAGCUCCGGGGUGAUCGGAGACCACCGAACGCGAGGAAUCUGAUCACAGAGGGAGACUUCAGCAGCAGGACAGAAGAGCGAGCGCCACCGUCUCUGUCACCGUAACUGCGUCUCGACCUUCCUGGAUAGCAGAUGGCACAAGAUGACACUUGCUAACCAAACUAUUGACUGGCAGCACCAGCAUGGCCACUUGACAGUAGAUGAACAACACGGGGCUGGCAGAAGAUCUGGCCUUGAUCCUGAGGUCUUCAACAUGAAAGCCGCCGGAUUUCUCCGUGCCCGAGAUGAGCCCAGACGCACACGGAGCGCUAGAGAGGUAACCCCUUUAUUUAAACUGUUGGCAAUCUGCUUCUCCCGGGCUUCAGGACCAGGAUAGCCUACUCGAGAGUAUUCCCUGCCGCCGCCGUCCACAGCAGUCCGCGCGGCUAUUAAAGCCCCAGGCGUGUGUCGGACAACUCCCCGGUGCCGGGAGACCCGCUUCUGCCCUAAUAACAGCACCUUCAAUCAGACGCUGCUCCGAAGCAUUUUCCGUGUAGACGGCUUUCUGCCUGGUGGGCACUGGGCAGGACCUCAGCCCACACCCAGCUCGACUGAGCAGCUGGCUGCUCCUCUCCAGCGAGCGUUUCCCACAUCUGUCUCACAACUUAGUGUCUUCGCGGUUCCUUUUAGAGUUUAUUUAUUGAAGCAGUUUUUGUUUCUAGCAAAACUAAAUGAAAGGGGCAGCCGGCAUUGUGGAUGCUGGGUGAAGUCACCCCUUGCAAUGCUGGCAAUGCUGGCUUCCCAAGUGAGCACCGGUUCGAGUCCCGGCUGCUCCACUUCCCAUCCAGCUCCCUGCUGAUGCACCUGGGAAAGCAGUGGGAGAUGGCCCAAGUGCCCGGGCCCUUACCACUCACUUGGGGGACCGGGAUGGAGUUCUUGGCUCCUGGCUUCAGUCUGGCCCAGCCCUAGCCGUUGUGGCCAUGUAGGGAGUGAGCCAACAGAUGGAAGAACUCUCUCUCUCUCUCUUUUCUCUGUCUCUCCCUCCCUCCCUCCCUCUCUCUGUAACUGUGCCUUUCAAAUAAAUAAAAGCAAUAUUAAAAAAACA